GAUGAACGCUGGCGGCGUGCCUAAUACAUGCAAGUCGAGCGAAUGGAUUAAGAGCUUGCUCUUAUGAAGUUAGCGGCGGACGGGUGAGUAACACGUGGGUAACCUGCCCAUAAGACUGGGAUAACUCCGGGAAACCGGGGCUAAUACCGGAUAACAUUUUGAACCGCAUGGUUCGAAAUUGAAAGGCGGCUUCGGCUGUCACUUAUGGAUGGACCCGCGUCGCAUUAGCUAGUUGGUGAGGUAACGGCUCACCAAGGCAACGAUGCGUAGCCGACCUGAGAGGGUGAUCGGCCACACUGGGACUGAGACACGGCCCAGACUCCUACGGGAGGUAGCAGUAGGGAAUCUGCCGCAAUGGACGAAAGUCUGACGGAGCAACGCCGCGUGAGUGAUGAAGGCUUUCGGGUCGUAAAACUCUGUUGUUAGGGAAGAACAAGUGCUAGUUGAAUAAGCUGGCACCUUGACGGUACCUAACCAGAAAGCCACGGCUAACUACGUGCCAGCAGCCGCGGUAA
rnacentral:rRNA from 1 species